CAGAGUGCGCACUCAGUCACGCAGGAAAUGCCCUUCUCUGGAUUCAGGGGCAGCAGGGAGUAUUGCUGACAGCUCAGCGCUGGUCCGGUCAAGCUCAGAGCCCCAGAAUUGAGGCCCUGAAAUAACAAUCGACCCCUCUCCGAGGGAAAACUAGCCCCGAGGUGCGUAGUUCCCUGGGACUGGGGCUUGCUUUGUGUCUGGUGAAGAGAUAAGGACACACUGCUACACUCAGGAUGAGAAAGGGACAGGAUGGAAAAGCAAGCACGAGCAGCCUCACGUCCUCCAUGUGUUGGCUAAGUGGGGCAGGGAUAUUCGAAGACCUGAUCUCUUCUCCCCGACCCCCUGUUCUGUGCCUCGAUACUUGAGCCCUAAACUUCUGAGCAGGAACUAAAGAUGGUCCAUAGUUCCUAAAGAUCCAAGGUCAGAAGGUCAGAGAUACGGCUGAGGACAUUAGAAAAGAGCCAAAGAAACCAGGAAAAUACUGAAAUAAAGUUUCUUGGCACUGUAGCUCCCCAACACCCCAGAGCUGAGAAGCCUGCUCCUCUCUUGGCCCACCUUGUGCGCAGUUUCUGCAAACUGCUGGGCGCUGUUCUUCAGGUCUUCUGUCUUCUCCUCUGCUCGGCCUAAUCGCUCUCCACGCUCAUUCAAGGCCUGGCUUGCCUUCUGCACUGCGCUGGUCACGCUGUCAGCAGCUGAAUGGAGGAUGCUGUUUCCUGAAAGGAGGAGAGCAGGAGCAUCAGAAACUGGCUCAGCUGACCCACAGUGACCAGACUCCGGCAGGGUGAGUAUCCUGUAAGAGGAAGGCAGGUCACACUGCAGAAAGGCCGCUCGUCUAGUGUCUAGGAAACAAGCCGACAUUUCUUUUGAUUGGGUUUGACUGACGCACUUGCAGCAAGAACACCCACUGACUGCAGGACCUAGGAAAAUCCUAAAUGCUUCUCUAUAAACUCAUCACUGACAUGCCAGUCAUUUCCAUUCUGCCAGUAUUCUAUCUGUGGAGGCUCAAAAGGAUGGGGCCUGUCUGGAUUUACAACUUGGCUUGCAAAGAUAAAUGAAAACGUUGACAAGUUCACAGAAUUAGGCAAGUUCAAUGAGACAUAUCUGGAUCUUAUGUUAUUUCCUUUUGACCUGUGGUUUCGGUGAAUAACCAUAGGAAAACUGGGACCACAGAACUUUUCUAGAUAGAAUGCUCUAUAUUCCUUCCAAUGCUUCUUCUUCAUUUUACCCCUUCAUCCAGCAAGUAAAGAACACCCCAAAAUGUACAGCUUCAUGUAAGAGCUAUGAUCCAGUCUCAAAGCUCAGAGUAGAUGUGUCUGCUCCCAACCUUGGAUUCUGUACCAUGGCUCGGAUGGUUGGGACUCCUUACCUCUGAUCUCUAGUAUGUGAAAUACGGAGCCUCAGGACCAUACUUAACCAGCAGGUACAAAACAGUGAUAGAAACCAGCCCUAGAAGAAACUUGGUACUCCCAAACUCAGGAGUGGUGAUACCAAGAAGGUUGAAAGCCAUUGCAUCUCAGAGGGUCAUGCAUUCCUGACAUCCCAUUUGCCGGGACUGGGCAGCAAAAUUCAAUAGUGAAGAACUUGCCAAUGCAUAAAUCACUGAGAAAUAGCAACUUGCAAAAUGACAACCAAAGGAAAUUUAUAGCUGUAUUUUGUUAACACUGAGUGUGAGAUAU
rnacentral:lncRNA from 1 species